UCUGCAAUAAAACAAUUCUCGGGGAGCGCCAAGCCACGCCGAGGGCUGGAUUAUUUGACGAAUCCUCAGCGCCCCGAGCCGGAUUUUUUCCUCCUUCUCCUUGGAGUUCUGGAGUCUCGCAGCGUUUCUCCUGUCCCAAAAUCCGCCCGGGGCCGGGAUUUGCUGGAGCAGCCCUCGAAGAACCGGGUGAGUUUUGUCUGUCGUGUCCGUCUGUCCUUCCUCA